ACUCAAAUGAAUUGACGGGGGCCCGCACAAGCGGUGGAGCAUGUGGUUUAAUUCGAUGCAACGCGAAGAACCUUACCAAGGUUUGACAUCCCGAGAAGUCCGUGGAAACGCGGAUGUGCCGCAAGGAGCUCGGAGACAGGUGGUGCAUGGCUGUCGUCAGCUCGUGUCGUGAGAUGUUGGGUUAAGUCCCGCAACGAGCGCAACCCUCGAUGCCAGUUGCCAACGGGUAAUGCCGGGCACUCUGGCGUGACUGCCGGUGACAAACCGGAGGAAGGUGGGGAUGACGUCAAGUCAUCAUGCCCCUUAUGCCUUGGGCUACACACGUGCUACAAUGGCCGGGACAGAGGGCAGCAAAGCCGCGAGGUGGAGCCAAUCCCUAAACCCGGUCUCAGUUCAGAUUGCAGGCUGCAACUCGCCUGCAUGAAGGUGGAAUCGCUAGUAACCGCAGGUCAGCAUACUGCGGUGAAUACGUUCCCGGGCCUUGUACACACCGCCCGU
rnacentral:rRNA from 1 species